CCUGGCCCGCUGGGCCUGCCUCAGCAGCGCUGCGGCCGCCGGCUCCCCAUGGGGCUCGGCGAGCUGGUCCCGGCACUGUGCGCCCUUGGCCGCCGCCGCCGCCGCCUCCCUCCUUGCUCCACGGCCCGCGCGCCGGCUCCUGCUUCCCGGGCUGCUGCGGGGAGGCCAAAUCCUCUGGUGCUCAUGCAAAAGUGCCCGGGCUUCCGCGAGGCUGCUUCGCGGAGUCGCCGGGCUCCACGCCCCGGCCGCGCUCCUUGCGCCGAAGCUAACUUGGAGUCCCGGGACGAGUCCGAGCCGCAGUUGGAGGAGCCGGCCCGGCUCUGCAGGGAAGCGGCGGGGUCCACUGCUCACUGUGAAGCUACCUCUGUGCGACCCUCCCCUUCCCGCCCCUUCCCCUCCCCCCACCAGCCCGAUCUGGGUUCUUGGGCGCUUAUUGUUUUAAUGAAAAUUUUGGUGGUGGUUGUGUUGGUCCUUGAAUGUGAUUUUAGCUGCGAGUAACGUGUCCUCGCUCCUCUCGGGCUCCCUCGGAGGGUUUUCAGAGAGGUCUCAGUGCAUCCAUUUUCUCAGAUCCUCUCCUUCUUUCCGGGUAAGGAUCUGGGGCCCUGCGGUCGCCUUGGAGAGCGAAGGAGGCGGCUCGGGCUCUCGGAGGGGUCUGCGCUGUGGUCGAGGGAGCUCCCGGGUGGUGGCGGCGGCAGUUCUCCUGGGCUGGACGCCGUGAGGUGGAACAAGCGGAUUUUCCCAGCAAGAUCUCCAUGUACAGCUACAUCUUUAGGGCCGCUCGGGUUAAUAUAUGUCGUCAGAGGCUCCUCACGCCAAUCCCGGGGCGGCGGGGGCGGCGCCUCGCUCUCUCCGCAAUAAAACUUUUUGAUGUUCUCGUUGCUAAUUGCCGAGGUCCUCUUCCAGGAUUGGCUGCCCCUUCAUAACCAUAAGAUAAUUAAAACGAGGGGGGGGGCAGAGUUAAAAAAAACUUUUUUAUCAGCCAGAGGUUAAUGCAAGUGUUUAACAGAUGCUUCAUUAUUAAAAUAUUUUCUCCCAAGUCUCAAAUAUUGAAGAAUCUCAAACCAGGUAGAGUAUCACUCCGCUUUCUUUUCUGGUUAAAAAAAAAAUAAAAGGUACGCAGAUACUGCUUUUCGGAGUGUUUGGUAGGUAACCGAGGCAAGUAAAUCAGCAGGCGGCCGGGCGCAGCUCUGUGCAGGGCCGAGGGCCGAUGAGGGACACCAGGUCCAACGAAGAAGACCUUGGGCGAUUUCAAAGCGCAGGCACCUCGAUUCCUCGAAUUUGUGGUGUGGCCGGUAUCAGUGUUCCCCUGGUUUAACUAGCCUGUUUGAAAGCGCAGAUCAUUCUUGGGGAAAGUACAGCUGAAACCAGGCCUCCUCUGCCUCCCCUGCUCCCCUAGGGGUCUACCUUCUUCCAGUCUACAACUGCCUUUGACUCCAGAAAGACAAACUUCAGAUUGGCUAAGGCCCAGCUGAAAUGCCACCUCCUCCAGAAAGCCUUUCCAGCCGCCUGAAGACGCAGCCCGACAGCGAUUGGCCCGGGCACGUCGUGGGCACCCCCGCAUCCCCGCGGGACUCGCAAGGCCUCAGUCCUCGCAGGACUGUGCGGGAGCGGGAGCUGCGGAGCUGCGGCCACGGCCCGGGAAUGUUGGGGCGCGAGGGGCGCGGCCGGGGCCGCCCCUCCGGAUUUAGGCCGCGGGCCCUCCAGCCGCUGCGUGGGCUGCUGGGCUUCCCCCGCCCUCCCGGUUGAGUUCUCGUUUGGAUCCCACCGCCCUCGCGGCUCCCGCCACCAGCGAGGCGUGUUCUCCGACGCUCGGGCCCAGGGCGGUCACCGCUCCAGGGCGGAGGGGCACCUAUCUGCACCCCCGCUCGUCGCCCAGGGCUUUUCGCGGGAGGCGGGCAGGAAGGGGUUAACGGCGCCCCUCCUCCGCGCCGCGCGAAGGCCGCCGCUUCCCUCCCGAGGUCUCAUUAGGGAAACCCUCACCGCUAUUUCCAACAUUUCCUCAAUCAAGUGCCUUUAAAUAGAGCUGCACAAACAAAUUGGCGGCAAAAGCGUAGAUCUUGUCACGACUGAGACCAAUCCCAAUAUUUCAGCCUUGUUUGCUUUGCAAUUACGGGUUGGCUUGUGGCUGCGGUGCCACCGGGGCAAAUCUGCAGCCGCCCGCUUUCUCCUCGGCACCCUGGGCGGGUGGAGGAAGCGACCCGCGGAGCCACUACAGGGAGAAGGGGGUGGCGCGGCGGUGGGGGGACGCGAGGGGACGCGGGCGGCUGCACCUCACCCAAGCCGCGUGCAAAGGGCGCGCAGAACACUGUUGAAAGAGGCGGACUCUUCAGGUUCUCGACCGAGCCGCGGAGGCAGAUACGAUAACAAUAAAAUGUGCAAUACA